rnacentral:lncRNA from 1 species
GAAGGAUCCGGCGCAACCGCCGCCGUUCGCCGACAGAUGUUUCUGUUGCCGCUGCUGUCUGAGAUGGGCGGUCAAACGCCUGCUGGAGGAACGCCGCCGCCGUUGGCUCGUCCGGAGUCGCCGCCAACUGCCGCUGCUGUUUCGCCGGAGUCUCGGCCUGGAGCUGCUACUGCUCGUCCGGUGGUCAGCUCUCCCUCUCGUUUUAUCACUCCCGAUAGGUUUGUAGUUUGAAAUAAUUUUCAGAAAACUCAAUUUUGUGUAAAGACUUGAUUUUGGAAUCAAAACUUGAUUUUCUGUACUCUAGUUUAGUGAGAUAGAAGUUGUAUUUCUAUUAUCAUGUAAGUCAUGCUCUAUGAAAGAUGAAGUCAUGAAUAUAGAGUGUGUGAAACCUCGAAGAGUAGUAUGUGAUUCUUGUUGUUGUUCCUGAAUUUGAUUGUUUUGUGGUGGCCGGAAAGAUUAGAGACAAAAGUUAUUGGAUGAAAAUGGUAUUUGUAAGCAAUGCAGAAUAACUGAAACUAUUCUUACCUCUUUGCACUAAAGUUUUGCUCUUGCGGGGAGUGAACUCUGAACUAUGAAUUUGCUAAGUGAAGGUGUAGAUUUUGAGCUGAAUCAUUUGGGUGAUUAUAAAGAGGAAUUCCGUAGACAAUGAAAUUUAAGAUGAAGAAAUUUUUCGUAGAGAAGUUGAUGAUUUUACUGUGGAG